rnacentral:rRNA from 1 species
CAGUAGCCACGGUAAUACGAAGGGGGCUAGCGUUGCUCGGAAUUACUGGGCGUAAAGGGCGCGUAGGCGGACAGUUCAGUCGGGGGUGAAAGCCCGGGGCUCAACCUCGGAAUUGCCUUCGAUACUGGCUGUCUUGAGUAUGAGAGAGGUGUGUGGAACUCCGAGUGUAGAGGUGAAAUUCGUAGAUAUUCGGAAGAACACCAGUGGCGAAGGCGACACACUGGCUCAUUACUGACGCUGAGGCGCGAAAGCGUGGGGAGCAAACAGGAUUAGAGACCCCCGUAGUCCCUGUCUCUUAUAC